GACGAACCGUGCGAACGUUGUUCGGAAUCACUGGGCUUAAAGGGCGCGUAGGCGGGCUGGUAAGUCAGGGGUGAAAGCCCACGGCCCAACCGUGGAAGUGCCUUUGAUACUGCCGGCCUGGAGGGAGGUAGGGGCGUGCGGAACUUCCGGUGGAGCGGUGAAAUGCGUAGAUAUCGGAAGGAACACCGGUGGCGAAAGCGGCGCGCUGGACCUCUUCUGACGCUGAGGCGCGAAAGCUAGGGGAGCAAACGGG
rnacentral:rRNA from 1 species